rnacentral:rRNA from 1 species
UGGGGAAUCAUGGUCAAUGGGCGAAAGCCUGAACCUGCGACGCCGCGUGAGUGAUGAAGGUCGUAAGAUCGUAAAACUCUUUUCAGGGAUCUUAAAGCCUGUCUGUCAACAACAGGCAGGUCUGACUCUCCCUGGAAGAAGCCCCAGCCAACUACGUGCCAGCAGCUGCGGUAAUACGGAGGAUGCGAGCGUUAUCCGGAUUCAUUGGGUUUAAAGGGUGCGUAGGUGGUCUUGUAAGCGGGGGGUGAAAGGCAUCGGCUUAACCGAUGUUAGCCCCCCGAACUGUGAGACUUGAGUACAGGAGAGGAAAGCGGAAUUCCUAGUGUGGCGGUGAAAUGCGUAGAUAUUAGGAGGAACACCAGAGGCGUAGGCGGUUCUCUAGGCUAGUCCUGACACUGAGACACGAAAGCUAGGGGAGCAAACG